rnacentral:rRNA from 1 species
UACGUAGGGUCCAAGCGUUAUCCGGAAUCACUGGGCGUAAAGCGUCUGCAGCCGGGAGUUUAAGUGAGAUGUUAAAUCGUGUGGCUCAACCAUAUCGAUGCAUCUCAUACUGGACACCUAGAGGAAAUCAGAGGCAAGUGGAACUAGUAGUGUAGCAGUAGAAAUGCGUAGAUAUUAACUAAGAACAACCAAUGGCGAAGGCAGCUUGCUGGGAUUUUUCUGACGGUCAGAGACGGAAAGCGUGGGGAGCGAACAGG